UCCAGACUCCUACGGGAGGCAGCAGUGAGGAAUAUUGGUCAAUGGGCGCGAGCCUGAACCAGCCAAGUCGCGUGAGGGAUGACGGUCCUACGGAUUGUAAACCUCUUUUGCCGGGGAGCAAGCGUGCGUUCGUGAACGCGCGUCGAGAGUACCCGGAGAAAAAGCAUCGGCUAACUCCGUGCCAGCAGCCGCGGUAAUACGGAGGGUGCGAGCGUUAAUCGGAAUUACUGGGCGUAAAGCGCUCGUAGGCGGUAUGUCAAGUCAAGGGUGAAAUCCCCGCGCUCAACGUGGGAACUGCCUUUGAAACUGGCAAACUGGAGUGUGUGAGAGGAUAGUGGAAUUCCAGGUGUAGGAGUGAAAUCCGUAGAUAUCUGGAGGAACAUCAGUGGCGAAGGCGACUAUCUGGCACAUAACUGACGCUGAGGAGCGAAAGCGUGGGGAGCAAACAGGAUUAGAUACCCCAGUACUA
rnacentral:rRNA from 1 species